AUUCAAUCUCCUUGUGCCUUGAUUUCCUUAUCAAUAAGUGAUUUGUUUUUAAAGAAGGAUUCACAAGCAAACAUAUCUGGUUUUUUUGUUUGUUUGUUUUUGAGACAGAGUCUCGCUCUGUUGUCCAGGCUGGAGUGCAGUGAUGCGAUCUUGACUCACUGCAACCUCCGCCUCCCAGGAGUUCAAGCGAUCCUCCUGCCUCAGUCUUCCGAGUAGCUGGGACUACAGGCAUGUGCCACCACACCCAGCUACUAUUUUUGUAUUUUUUUGUAGAGAUGGUUUCGCCAUGUUGGCCAGGCUGGUCUUGAACCCUUGACCUCAGGUGAUCCACCAGCCUCGGCCUCACAAAGUGCUGGGAUUACAGGUAUGAGCCACCACGCCCAGCCUGCAAACAUAUGUUGAACUCUUUGCACAGUGCCCUGCAUGAGAUAGAUGACAGCUCCUUCUUCCAUGUUGUUAAUUUGGUGUGAGUAUAUGUUAUAUGUAUGUAUAUGCAAGAUAAUAAUCUUCUUGUAACCACUGACAGGCCUUUUUGUGAAUGAUGAUGGAAAAAGCAAGAACCUUGUCCAGGUUCCUCUCCAGGGAGCAGGGGUGGGUUGUGAUUCUUGAUUUCAUUCCUUUAGAUAUGAAGAGUUUUCACACAGAGGCAGCACGAAUUUGUCUCUCUCCUAGAGGGUGGGGAGAGUUGCUGGGUGGAUAUAACUGCAUCACAGCCUUUCUGGGUAAACUGGCCACUCCCUACUGAUUUGUUAUCAUGCUAAAUGUGUCUCCUCCCUUCCUUUCUGGAGCUUUUGCAGCUGUUCCUGGAAGGAGACCCAGUUGAAAGGGGUUGUUAUGGACCAGGAACAGCUGGGAUCUUUAAUGAUCUGUGAGCAGCUUACAGCAAAGUUCCAACACCCUGAGUAUCAGUCCCCAAAUCCUUGGUCUUUGCAUUCCAACACAAAGUAAAAAGGAUUGAGCAGGGUUUUGGUUUUGGUUGCAAGUAACAGAAACCCAACGCUAAUUAAUAAACGGGAAAGUGUGUCAGUGGAAAUCUCCACAAGUCCGACGGAAAGAGAAAACUGCUUUCCCAAAGGGUGUAAGAGGAUGAAAGGCAUGUCAUCAGCUGAAUUGCAUCAGGUGUCCAUCUUGGAAUCAAUCACGGUGCCUCUUAUUAGCAAAGCCUGAGUCAUAGGCAUGUGUCAUUUCACAUCUGCAUAAAAAGACAUGCUGAAGGAUGUUCCUUGCAGAAUGGUUAUAGAGAAAAAUGGGAAUAACCACGAUAUAAAGUAACAGCACACAUAUUUUACUGUAAAA
rnacentral:lncRNA from 10 species